GAGAUGGGACGAGAAACACAGGCCACAGACGAGGCUGAAACACACGCCCCUCCUGUUGAGCCUUCAGUUAGAGUGAUGGGAGGCAGACCCAGUGGGGUCGCUGGUUCGGAUGGCUGGCGCAGCCCUGGCCCCAGCAGCAACUUGGCUCCCGCGACGCCUCCCGGCGCCUGGCAACUGUCACAGGCUCUCUUCCGAGGCUGUCAACAGCAGGGCGUCGCGUGCAAACAAGCUGGAAGAGAGCGCAAACAGCCUGGGCGAACGGGGACGGCCGCGGCGCUGUUUGACCCGAGUGGGAAUUUAGAAAUUAGGUUUCGAAGAAGUAAAAGCUGCGUGCAAUUAUUGUAUUUUGCAAUGUUUCAUUUUAAAGUGUCGAUCGUAUUAAAUCGCACUUCCGCUUUAAAACCUCCUGUGGAUACCAACGACACUUAGAAUAAAAUUUAAACUCUUUGCCUGAACUCUGGGAUCGCAUCUCCUACCUGUGCCCACGAUGCUUUGUGUACGGAGGCCCUUAUGGCUGUUCCUGAAAGUCGCCAAGUUACAUCCAAUCAUUCCUGUAACGCGUUCCUCGUGGAUGAACUGUUGCUUCUGCCUCCUGCUUUUCCCUGCUUUUUCCUUCUUGUCUUUCAGUGCUCAAUUCAAAUGUCAUCUCUGCAGAGCUCUUCCCUGACCCCCCAAAGGAAAAUAGGUCCAAACAUGAUCUGCUAAGUAAAGACUGACCCCUGCUUUAUUAUCUUCACAGCACUGUCUAAAACAAUGUUUUUGUUCCUUCUUUCAUUAUUAUCAAUCUCUCCAGAAUACAAGCUCCAGGAAGACAGGGUCGUUACCUUCAUAAAGGGCUGUACCCUAGGAUUUGUGAAUGGAUGCCACAGUAUUUAGAGUUCUAGGUCUUUUGCAGUGUUGAAAAACCUUCCAGAGAACAUUUCUGUAUUGAGUGAUGUGUUUGUGAUCAGUACAGAGAAGGUCUGUAUCAUAUGACACUUCAAAGCUCCCCUCUUCUCUUAGUUUGUUAGUUAGUUAGUGUUAGUUGCUCAGUCGUGCCCAACUCUUUGGGACCCCAUGGACUGCAGUCCACCAGGCUCCUCUGUCCAUAAGAUUUUCCANNNNNNNNNNNNNNNNGGGUUGCCAUUUCCUUCUCCAGAUGAUCUUCCCAACCCAGGGAUCAAACCCCGGGCUCCUGCACUGCAGGCAGAUUCUUACCAACUGAGCUACAAGGGAAACCACUUCUCUUGACAUUGUGUUAAAGAUAAUCAGAGCCCUUAGGCUGCCUCCUCAGCAACCCCUCCCCCUUCCCCCUACACCUAUCUACUUCAGAACCAAUAAUAGGAAGUGAAUCACAGGGGCUGGUACAAAAGUGUUCAAAUAUUAUAUAGUAUUUGUAGUGCUGGGUUUUGUUAAAAGGACCCCACACAUUGUAUUGCUUAGACAGGAGGCUCUUACCUAUAUUUUCAGUUCAGUUCAGUCGCUCAGUUGUGUCCAACUCUUUGCAACCCCANNNNNNNNNNNNNNNNNNNNNNNNNNNNNNNNNNNNNNNNNNNNNNNNNNNNNNNNNNNNNNNNNNNNNNNNNNNNNNNNNNNNNNNNNNNNNNNNNNNUGCAACCCCAUGGACUGCAGCACACCAGGCCUCCCUGUCCACCACCAACUUCUGGAGCUUGCUCAAACUCAUGCCCAUUGGAUCGGGGAUGCCACCCAACCAUCUCAUCCUCUGUCCCCCCCUUCUCCUCCCGCCUUCAAUCUUUCCCAGCAUCGGGGUCUUUUCCGAUGAGUCAGGGUCUUGUCAUGUUCCUUUGGAGUUAUUUUUGCAGUCAAAGCACUUAGAGAUAUUUACAACUCCAUAGCUUGUUAAAUCUCCUCACCUCACCUCACCCAUAAGCUGGAGUCUGUCAUGCUUUUAAGUGUGAAACACAUUAGCUUGUAUUUGGUUUUAAAUACGUCAAUUCUGCAGAGACUUGUAAAAAUGCUUCACCAUUGCACUAACAAAUAUAGGUGAAUCAUCAUAUCUUUUGUGAUUUCUUUGGCAUAAAGACAAAUAACUUCUUUAUCUUCCCUUUGCCAACAUUUGCCUCCUGUUCCUACCCAGGCGUGGGUGUGCCCACAUGCAUGCACACACAUGCACGCACACACAUAUGCAUGCACACACACACACAUACAAAAGGACCAUUUAAAGACUUGUGGGUUUGUAUUGGAGAUAGAGUAGCGAAAAUCAAAAUGUUUUAGAAUCCUAUCUACCCUCAAAAGAAUAAAAAUGAAUUUUGUUUUGUUUUAGUCUGAGUUUUUAUUUUUUGGAUACUAUUUUACAUUUCACUUCAUAAAGCAUUUCUGAGGGAACACUGUUUCACAGACCCAAGCUGAAACCCAUUAUGUCUCAGUCUCUAAGCUCCUCCUAUCCUCCCACACAGAACUUCCUCUUUAGUGAAGGGCAUAAUACUUUAAAUUAUUAUGAAGUAACUAUUUGCUAUCAGAGGAGAUAGUGUGACAUUAUCUACCAUACUCAUUUACUCUUUUCGGAAUCCUUGAUGUCUAUUUAACAUUUGAAAGCCAAAAUUUUGGAGGGCUAAUUAUAAUGUAUAAUAAAUAGCAUGAAAGGCAAAUAUGAGCUCCUUGAAUAACAAACAGUGUUUAGUUAUAAAGAAGCAACAAACUUGCUAAUCAAUGAAAAUAGGAACUUUUUUUCAUCAAAAUAAAACACUUCCUAUGCCAUGGACAGCUAACCCAAGCCUUGUUGAACAGAUGAGGGGAUUUAAGUCUAAGAGGUUAGAGGAUUUACUCACAGGUGGCAGACAGGAUGAAGCUCAGGUCGUGCUCUACUCCAGAACUCUGGAGCUUUCUGUUUCUUCCCUAUUCCCGCAGGGAAAUUAAGGUCAAUGACAAUAAUCCAUGGAAUGGAUAUGAAUUAAAGAGAAAUAUAGCUAACCUCAGGCUACUGGAUGGCUAUUUCACUGUUUAAUUGAUACUCCCAUAUAAUUUAUUGAUAGUGCACGUCAAAUUUAGGUUUAGCAUUAUUAAAUAAGCUUUCUAAUGACUUCGAAAUAGACAAUUAAAAUACAUUAAUUCAGUGCACGUAUUUGAACAUGAUAUUUAUUCACUUCUUGAAUAAAUGGUGGAUGCAGCUUCCUGCCAGGACACAGGUGACCACCGUGAAGUCUCCAGUCACUUCAAGGACCAGAGGAGUCGACAUCUCAUCACUCCAACAACCUAUUUGCAGCGCACAUAUCCUGCAUCCAUUAUAGCAAGUUGAGAAAUGUUUAGAGCACAGAGGAAAGCAGAAUGAUUAUCCAACAGAGUUCUUCUGUAACUUGUGCAUGCGUGCUCAUUCAGUCACGUCCAGCUGACCCCACAGACUGUAGCCCGCCAGGCUACUCUGUC
ensembl:lncRNA